AUUGAACGCUGGCGGCAGGCCUAACACAUGCAAGUCGAGCGGGGUCUUCGGACCUAGCGGCGGACGGGUGAGUAAUGCGUAGGAAGCUACCCGAUAGAGGGGGAUACCAGUUGGAAACGACUGUUAAUACCGCAUAAUGUCUACGGACCAAAGUGUGGGACCUUCGGGCCACAUGCUAUCGGAUGCGCCUACGUGGGAUUAGCUAGUUGGUGAGGUAAUGGCUCACCAAGGCGACGAUCCCUAGCUGGUUUGAGAGGAUGAUCAGCCACACUGGAACUGAGACACGGUCCAGACUCCUACGGGAGGCAGCAGUGGGGAAUAUUGGACAAUGGGCGCAAGCCUGAUCCAGCCAUGCCGCGUGUGAAGAAGGCCUUCGGGUUGUAAAGCACUUUCAGUAGGGAGGAAGCGUUGUGUGUUAAUAGUACACAGUGUUGACGUUACCUGCAGAAGAAGUACCGGCUAACUCUGUGCCAGCAGCCGCAGUAAAAC
rnacentral:rRNA from 1 species